GAAAAUGGAAAGUUCUUCUUGAAACACACAGAUGUAAUCAUGAUACAGAUAUUUCUGAUUCACCCAAUCUGGUGGAUAUGGAACAUCCAGAGCCUACAACCAUGCAGCAGGAAUCUGAUAUUCUUGUCCAACAAAGUGACACCAUGGGUCCUCUGCCACUGGAUAUGCUGGCUCUAGCUGCAGAGAACAAGCAACUCAAAGAAGAUAUGGCCAAACUGAUCCUAGAAAAGGAAGAGCUCAUGCGUGCCCAGCAG